GACGAACGCUGGCGGCGUGCUUAACACAUGCAAGUCGAACGAUGAUGCCCAGCUUGCUGGGUGGAUUAGUGGCGAACGGGUGAGUAACACAUGAGUAACCUGCCCCUGACUCUGGGAUAAGCGUUGGAAACGACGUCUAAUACUGGAUAUGACUGCCGGCCGCAUGGUCUGGUGGUGGAAAGAUUUUUUGGUUGGGGAUGGACUCGCGGCCUAUCAGCUUGUUGGUGAGGUAAUGGCUCACCAAGGCGACGACGGGUAGCCGGCCUGAGAGGGUGACCGGCCACACUGGGACUGAGACACGGCCCAGACUCCUACGGGAGGCAGCAGUGGGGAAUAUUGCACAAUGGGCGAAAGCCUGAUGCAGCAACGCCGCGUGAGGGAUGACGGCCUUCGGGUUGUAAACCUCUUUUAGUAGGGAAGAAGCGAAAGUGACGGUACCUGCAGAAAAAGCACCGGCUAACUACGUGCCAGCAGCCGCAGUAA
rnacentral:rRNA from 1 species